AGUAGUUCGCGAGGCAGCUAUGCUCAGCACAAGUGAAAGAUGAACAAGCACAAGCUCCGGAAGCGACUUUGCCGCUAGACAUGAGAGCUCUCUCCUCUCCAGUUUGAGGACCCUAACUUUUGGACAAUUAGGCCCUUGUCUGAUAUGAUGGUUCGAGCUGCCACACAUGAUGUCUGCUUCCUUCUCAAUAUCUAUGAGAAAACGAUGGAAAAGUUAAGCAAAGUAAAAACCAUACUCAUAGUUUGCAACUGUACAGAUAAAUGAAACAGUGAGCCUCCAUGACCGCCUUACUUCUGCUAAACCAGUUCUCCAGUCUUGGUGUUUCCAAAGGAUCCCAUGAUCCUCCUCAUGCAAACAAACACAGUUCUCAAUUGUCUCCACACCACCAGUGAAGUUUGUGAAAUGUGCAUCAAAAUAUUUUAUGUAGCCCAAGCACCCUCUUAUAGAAAUCCUUGCAUUGUAAAGAAAUAUAGCUUUUCAAUGACCAUUUCACCCUUUUUGUAUCCACCAUUUCUACAUUUCACAAGUUCCAGUGAAUAGGUGAUAGUUGUGAUUUUAAGGUGGUUGAAAAUGAAGGUAGGAGAAGGGGCACAUGAAUCUAAAUGAUGCAUACUUAAGUGGCACUUUUGCCUCUAUCAGAUUUUCUCCAUGUUUAUUUGAUGCUUGCCUUUGUUUCAAUGUUUUAUAUUUGGGUUGUGAUUCUUUUAGUGCAAAACUUGCUUUUUUAAUCAUCUAUAUUUGGUGGUGAUAUCUGCAGGAUAGGUUUUAGGAGAGGCUAAGAAAGCGUUUAGGACUUGAAGAGGCUACAAAGAACAAAGGUUUUGACCUUGGUAACGGAGGAAAGACACAAAAUGUUUCAGUACCGACUGUUGAAGGUGUAGCUAGAGGAACUAGCUAUGGAUGGGUGGAUGGAGGUUUGCGGGGUACAAAUCUUGGUGCUGGUGUGAUUGAUCCUACAAACGUACACUCAGAUAAUCUUUUGCACGUCUGGUCUAUGCCCAGCACAGCAAAUGUUAGCCAGCAAGAAGCGCCUCGGCCUCUAGAGAAAGUCAACCUUUUGGCAGCAAGAAAUGAAAGGGAAAGUUUUCAAAUUGCUUUACGCCCAAAGGUUUCAUGGGCAACUUCAGGUAUUGCAGGGUCUGUGCUGAUACAAUGCACCGAUCUCUGCUCCUCCUCAGGAGACAGGUUUGUUUGUUUAAAAUUUAAAACAUCUUUAUUAGGGAAGCUCAGUGGCUAUUUCAAUAGCUACCUUCAAGGAAUGGAUGAAACCGGAUCAGAUAGGUCUUUCAAAGUGCUGCAUUUUUUUAUUCUCUCACAGUUCGUGAAAAUGUUGGAUUCCUUUUAUAUGAAAAUUCAAGCUUACCCGAGGAUCGCAUUGGUGAAUUGGUGAAAGAAACUUUGGCUGCAGUAGGACUAAAGAGGUUGUUCCGACUGAGUACAAAUAUCUGUCAAAGAAAAUAUUGCCAACAAAUCAGGGUUCUGUCACGGAGUAUUUUCUUUCCAUUCGCCCAACUGAGAGGGCCUGGCCAGCGGUGUACUUUCUGUAUGAUCUCUCACCAAUUACAUUCACCAUCAAAGAGGAAAGAAGGAACUUCCUUCAUUUUAUAACUCGUCUUUGUGCAGUUCUUGGUGGCACAUUUGCCAUGACAGGUUAGCUUGCACCCAAUAGUUUU